UACGGAGGGGUUAGCGUUGUUCGGAAUUACUGGGCGUAAAGCGCGCGUAGGCGGGCUGUUAAGUCGGGGUGAAAUCCCGGGGCUCAACCCCGGAACUGCCCUCGAUACUGGCAGCCUAGAGUUCGAGAGAGGUGAGUGGAAUUCCGAGUGUAGAGGUGAAAUUCGUAGAUAUUCGGAGGAACACCAGUGGCGAAGGCGGCUCACUGGCUCGAUACUGACGCUGAGGUGCGAAAGCGUGGGGAGCAAACAGG
rnacentral:rRNA from 1 species